rnacentral:rRNA from 1 species
AUUGAACGCUGGCGGCAUGCUUUACACAUGCAAGUCGAACGGCAGCGCGGGCUUCGGCCUGGCGGCGAGUGGCGAACGGGUGAGUAAUGCAUCGGAACGUGCCCAGUAGUGGGGGAUAGCCCGCCGAAAGCCGGAUUAAUACCGCAUACGACCUGUGGGUGAAAGCGGGGGACCGAAAGGCCUCGCGCUAUUGGAGCGGCCGAUGUCGGAUUAGCUAGUUGGUGGGGUAAAGGCUUACCAAGGCGACGCUCCGUAGCUGGUCUGAGAGGACGACCAGCCACACUGGGACUGAGACACGGCCCAGACUCCUACGGGAGGCAGCAGUGGGGAAUUUUGGACAAUGGGGGCAAGCCUGAUCCAGCCAUGCCGCGUGCGGGAAGAAGGACUUCGGGUUGGAAAGCGCUUUUGUUCGGGAAGAAAUCCUGUGGGCUAAUACCCCGGGGGGAUGACGGUACCGGAAGAAUAAGCACCGGCUAACUACGUG